CAUAUUUGAGGAGAGGUUGUCCAUCUUAAGUUCACCCCAUUUGUCAUGAGUAAUACCCAGUUAACCUCUUUUUGAAUAUC
rnacentral:pre_miRNA from 15 species